ACAAGUGCUCUAGAAUGACUGCUUCAUAGGAGAGCUGUUACCUAGACGCAGGAGAGAAAUGAACAUAUGUAAAGCAAGGCAGAUGGUCCCAAGGAGAACUUAAUUGAGAUGAUUGGAGAAGCAGGAAUGAAGGAACAGGGGAAAGAAACUGAGAAGCAUGAAUGGGAGGAGGGGAUGGAGGCAGAAAUAUCCAGUGCUUCCCAGAGGCAAUGACGAUAUGAUAAUCCUUCAUAAAAGGCAGAAAAAUAGGGUGAUAAUCCCGCUUCCUUUUUCACUGAGAAAACAGAAGCAAUCAGAAUAGGCAUUGACAUACACCAGCUACCACAUCUACUGAUAUAUUGGUAAAGAUCAUCUGGGAAAUAUUUAAACAUUUUUUUUGAAACAAAGAGCAACAAAAGGUAUUUAAAACUGGCAUUUGAGAAGGGACCUUGAGCUGUUAACUGCUAUGCACCUGUCUGCUCAUCUGUAAAAUGAGGAUCAACAAGAGGAGGAAAGAAUGAGAACCCUUGGUCAUGAACAGGAGAAUGUUUUUGACGAUUUGGAAACUGGGGAGUAUGAGACUUCCUCUUGGGAGAGUUGAAAUAGGGGUAACAUAAAGUGCCAUAUGAAGAACAUUCAGCCUAAGUGAGAAGAAACAAAUCCCGAUUUAUGUCAAUCAUUGGCAUAUAAUAUUAAGGCCAGUAUCUCUUUAAGGCAGACUCCUUUCAUGUGCUAGCUGUACUUAAAAAGCAGCAGUGAACAGAAAGCAAAAUUAACCCAGUAUAUUACAAACCAAGAAAUGAUGACAAGAAGGUAACAGCUAUACUGCUGGAAGACUGGAAAGGCAUCUUCAGGUGUAGGUCCCAAGUGCCCUGUCAUUUACUUCCUGUCCAAGCACUGAGCAGAUGGAAUUACACAAGUUCGGCUGUAUGAAACCACCCUCUAAUGCCUUCGUUAAACUCCAGGAUUUUAGAGUCUGUCCAGUUUCUGGCAGGGACCUUUCCAAACUUCCACCCCCAAAGCUGUAAAUUACUCUCUGGAAUAUUUCAUGUGCCAUGGCAAAUGCCAGUUAUCAGAAGGUUUGAAGAAAACUCAUAAAAUUGACUCAGGUGCCACAAACUCAAGGCAAGCCUAAUUUUAAGGGGGAAAGACUGAGAUAGGAAGCCCUGCAGACUUAGCCACUCUGGCAUAGUAUUAGAAGGACAAUGACCUGAAUAGAACAUCUGGUAGACCAACCAGGAACCAUUGCAGUGCUGGCAGGAAUCCAGACCAUCCACAGC
rnacentral:lncRNA from 10 species